rnacentral:tRNA from 1 species
GGAAGGUAGUCGAAUACGGAUUGUCGGGCCGGUUUGCUAAACCGUGCGGCCACAAUGGCCAUGUGGGUUCGAAUCCCAUGCCUUCCGC